AGUGAACGCUGGCGGUAGGCCUAACACAUGCAAGUCGAACGGCAGCACAGUAAGAGCUUGCUCUUACGGGUGGCGAGUGGCGGACGGGUGAGGAAUACAUCGGAAUCUACUUUUUCGUGGGGGAUAACGUAGGGAAACUUACGCUAAUACCGCAUACGACCUACGGGUGAAAGCAGGGGAUCUUCGGACCUUGCGCGAUUGAAUGAGCCGAUGUCGGAUUAGCUAGUUGGCGGGGUAAAGGCCUACCAAGGCGACGAUCCGUAGCUGGUCUGAGAGGAUGAUCAGCCACACUGGAACUGAGACACGGUCCAGACUCCUACGGGAGGCAGCAGUGGGGAAUAUUGGACAGUGGGCGCAAGCCUGAUCCAGCCAUACCGCGUGGGUGAAGAAGGCCUUCGGGUUGUAAAGCCCUUUUGUUGGGAAAGAAAAGCAGCAGGUUAAUACCCCGCUGUUCUGACGGUACCCAAAGAAUAAGCACCGGCUAACUUCGUG
rnacentral:rRNA from 1 species